AUUGAACGCUGGCGGCAGGCCUAACACAUGCAAGUCGAGCGGAUGAAGGGAGCUUGCUCCUGGAUUCAGCGGCGGACGGGUGAGUAAUGCCUAGGAAUCUGCCUGGUAGUGGGGGAUAACGUCCGGAAACGGGCGCUAAUACCGCAUACGUCCUGAGGGAGAAAGUGGGGGAUCUUCGGACCUCACGCUAUCAGAUGAGCCUAGGUCGGAUUAGCUAGUUGGUGGGGUAAAGGCCUACCAAGGCGACGAUCCGUAACUGGUCCGAGAGGAUGAUCAGUCACACUGGAACUGAGACACGGUCCAGACUCCUACGGGAGGCAGCAGUGGGGAAUAUUGGACAAUGGGCGAAAGCCUGAUCCAGCCAUGCCGCGUGUGUGAAGAAGGUCUUCGGAUUGUAAAGCACUUUAAGUUGGGAGGAAGGGCAGUAAGUUAAUACCUUGUUGUUUUGACGUUACCAACAGAAUAAGCACCGGCUAACUUCGUG
rnacentral:rRNA from 1 species